rnacentral:rRNA from 1 species
GACAGAGGAUGCAAGCGUUAUCCGGAAUGAUUGGGCGUAAAGCGUCUGUAGGUGGCUUUUUCAAGUCCGCCGUCAAAAUCCCCAGGGCUCAACCCUGGACAGGCGGUGGAAACUACCAAGCUGGAGUACGGUAGGGGGCAGAGGGAAUUUUCCGGUGGAGCGGUGAAAAUGCAUUGAGAUCGGAAAGAACACCAAGGCGAAAA